GAUGACAAGAACAAAACCCUGUCAAAAAAAAAAAAAAGUAGACAAAAUAAGAACUUCUUUAGAUGAGCAAGGAGUUAGAGAAUUCACUGCCAGCAGAUCGGCACUAAAAUAAAUAUUGAAGAAAAUUCUUAGGGCAGAAGGAAAAUUAUGCCAGUUGGAAAUAAACUUACACAAAGAAAUGAAGAGUAGUGAAACUGGCAAAAAUGUGUCAAAUAUAAAAUAAAUUUCCUUGGUUUUAAUAUCUGUUUAAUGCAAAAAUAGUAACAAUGCAUUGUGGGGAUCACAGUAUAUGUAGAAGUAGAAGAGUACCACAAAAAUAGCACAACAGGCAGGAAGGAGGAAAUGGACGUAUUUGGUUGUGAGGUUAUUAAACUAUAUUUUAAGUACCAUAAUGUUAUUCGAAGGUAAAUUGUGGAAAGUUAAAUAUAUGUAUUUAAAUCCUAGAGUGCCAUUACAAAAAAAGAGAAAAUGAUAAGAUAUAGCCAGUAAGGCAAUAGCAGAGAUACAAGAAUACUAUGGGAGCAGUGUGAAGAAGAAGAGGUGAGAAUGACCCCCGGACCGACCAAAGCCCGCGCACCCCUGCAUCCUGCGCACCCCUGCAUCCCAUGCGCCCCUGCAUCCUGUGCCCAGAUCCUACAACCCGCUGCCGUAGCCGCCGCCACCAUGCCCAAGAGAAAGGCUGAAGGCGAUGCUAAAGGAGAUAAAGCCAAGGUGAAGGACAAACCACAGAAAAGAUCUGCGAAGUUGUCUGCUAAGCCCACUCCUCCAAAGCCAGAGCCCAAGCCUAAAAAGGCCCCUCCAAAGAAGGGAGAGAAGGUACCCUAAGGGAAAAAGGGAAAUGUGGCUGCUGGCAAGGAGGGGAAUAACCCUGCAGAAAAUGGAAAAUGGAGAUACCAAAACAGACCGGGCACAGAAAGCUAAAGAUGCCGGAGAUGCCAAAUGCAGUGUGUGCAUUUUUUUAUAACUGUGUAGUUCUGGUGACUGUACAGUUUGAAAUACUAUUUUUUAUCAAUUUUUACAAAAAUGUAGAAUUUUGUUUUACCUUUUUUUUAAGCUAUGUUGUUAGCACACGGAACACUUCAUUGCUGUUUUGCGGGGAAGGGGCAUAUGUCACUAAAAGAAUGUCUCUGAAUCUGGACUGAUACAGGGAAAACACCUUUCCCUUCUAGUUUUGAGAGACUUCCUCUUGGCUCCCAGGAAGAGGGAUUCCCUGACUUUGACGCACAUGGCCACCUUGGCACACAAAAGCCUUGUGCUAUGGAAAACCAAAUUCGUUUUCAUGUCCUCUUCUCCCUUUCUGUCUUUCAGCAUAGACUUAACUCCCUUAAGCCAACUCAUCUGUUGGGAUCUGACCCCCAGUCAUUGGUUACCACUGUGUCAGGCAAUCUGGACUUUCCAGUGAUGCCACUGAGAUGGCCCCUGUCAAAAGACCAGUGGUUCCACUUCUGGAUUGUGGAUCUUCAGAGAAAUUCUGGUAUUUUCAUUUUAUAACUGUAAGUGUUGCUUUGUCAAUUUCUCCCUUUAAUGUUAUAAAUUUUUGCUUUAUUUUUCAAAGCUUCUGUUAUUAGGUACACACACAUUAAAGAUUAUUAAAGGAAUUAUUAUGAGCCAAAAAAAAAAAAGCGUAUCUCAAAAUGUUGCAUGCUGUGGGAUUCAAUUUGUAUAACAGACUUGACAUGACAAAAUGAUAGAGAUGGAGAACAGAUAAGUGGUUGCAAAGGGUUAGGGCGGGGGAGUGUGUUUUUUUAAAGGCCUACCACAAGGGAUCCUUGUGGCGAUGGAGCAGUUGUGUGUCUUGAUCAUGGUGGUGUUUACAGGAAUCUUUUAUUUUAUCAUGUCAUAAAAUUGCAAGGAAAACAGUUUGGCACUUUCUUAUAAAGUUAAA